ACAGACAAGAUGGGCCAAGACUGAUGG
rnacentral:piRNA from 1 species